rnacentral:tRNA from 1 species
GCGGGCGUGGUGAAACUGGUAGACGCGCCGGACUCAAAAUCCGGUUCCGCAAGGAGUGUAGGUUCGAUUCCGACCGCCCGCACCA